rnacentral:rRNA from 1 species
AGCGAACGUUAGCGGCGGGCCUAACACAUGCAAGUCGAGCGAGAAAGUGGCUUCGGCCAUCAGUAGAGCGGCGGACGGGUGAGUAACAUGUAGGUAAUCUUCCCUUGAGCGGGGGACAACGAGCCGAAAGGCUCGCUAAUACCGCAUACGUUCCCAGAGACCUCGGUCUUUGGGAGGAAAGCUAGGUAGCAAUAUCCGGCACUCGAGGAGGAGCCUGCGUCGCAUCAGCUAGUUGGUGGGGUAACGGCCUACCAAGGCGAAGACGCGUAGCUGGUCUGAGAGGAUGAUCAGCCACACUGAAACUGAGACACGGUUCAGACUCCUACGGGAGGCAGCAGUGGGGAAUAUUGGACAAUGGGCGCAAGCCUGAUCCAGCCACGCCGCGUGAGUGAUGAAGGCCUUCGGGUCGUAAAGCUCUGUGGGGAGGGACGAACCGCUGUCGGUUAAUACCCGGCAGCAUGACGGUACCUCCUUAGCAAGCACCGGCUAACUUCGUGCCAGCCGCCGCAGUAA